GGGGGGAGGAAUAGAACAGAAAUUGAUUAUUAUGCGUGUUACGUGAAAACUUUAAAAACUUGGCCUACCUUGGCGCCUACAUCAGUGACAGAGGUCAUACAUGAUAAUAAAAGGAAAUAAGAUUAAAAUAAAGGUCAUCACAGUUCAGCUCCUGGGCCCGGGGAAAACCAGUUAAGGAAUAAUAGAAUACCAUGAAGAUGUAGGCAGGAUGAGACUGCAGUGCCAGGCCGCUGGGGUACUGGGCCACAAAUCUCCGCUGAAGAAGACCACCAGGCCGGGCCGAGACCUCCACCCUGGGCCGAGACUGCCAGGCCGGGCCGAGACCUCCACCCUGGGCCGAGACUGCCAGGCCGGGCCGAGACCUCCACCCUGGGCCGAGACUGCCAGGCCGGGCCGAGACCUCCACCCUGGGCCGAGACUGCCAGGCCGGGCCGAGACCUCCACCCUGGGCCGAGACUGCCAGGCCGGGCCGAGACCUCCACCCUGGGCCGAGACUGCCAGGCCGGGCCGAGACCUCCACCCUGGGCCGAGACCGCCCAGCCGAGCUGAGACCGUCGCCCUGGGCUGAGACCGCCAGGCCGGGUUGAGACCUCCGCCCUGGGUCGAGACCUCCACCCUGGGCCGAGACCACCAGGCCAGGUUGAGAACACCGCCCUGGGCCGAGACCACCAGGCCAGGUUGAGAACACCGCCCUGGGCCGAGACCGCCAGGCCGGGUUGAGACCGUCGCCCUGGGCCGAGACCGCCAGGCCAGGUUGAGACCGUCGCCCUGGGCCGAGACCGACGGGCCGGGCCGCGACCGUCGCCCUGGGCCGAGACCGACGGGCCGGGCCGCGACCGUCGCCCUGGGCCGAGACCGACGGGCCGGGCCGAGACCGUCGCCCUGGGCCGAGACCGACGGGCCGGGCCGAGACUGCUGCUCCAGGAUGAGACCACCAGGCCGGGCCGAGAUCGUUGCUCUAGGCCUGGACUGCCACUUCUCUUUCAGGCCCCUGGGCCUAAGUGCCGACCUGGAGCCUCAGCCUGAGCUUGUGGGGGCCAGUGCAGUUUUUGGCCCCUGUUGUACCAUCAAGCUCCAGUCUGUGCAAGUUCUUUAGCUCCCUCCUGUCACGGCCCAGUGGCCUCCUGACCCUGAGCCCAUCAGCAAG